rnacentral:rRNA from 1 species
UACGUAGGGUGCGAGCGUUGUCCGGAAUUAUUGGGCGUAAAGGGCUCGUAGGCGGUUUGUCGCGUCGGGAGUGAAAACACCGGGCUUAACUCGGUGCUUGCUUUCGAUACGGGCAGACUAGAGGUAUGCAGGGGAGAACGGAAUUCCUGGUGUAGCGGUGAAAUGCGCAGAUAUCAGGAGGAACACCGGUGGCGAAGGCGGUUCUCUGGGCAUGUCCUGACGCUGAGGAGCGAAAGUGUGGGGAGCGAACAGG